rnacentral:rRNA from 1 species
AUAAAAAACCAACGCCCUUCGGGGCUCCUUGGUGAAUCAUAAUAACUAAGCGAAUCGCAUGGCCUUGCGCCGGCGAUGGUUCAUUCAAAUUUCUGCCCUAUCAACUUUCGAUGGUAAGAUAGUGGCUUACCAUGGUGGCAACGGGUAACGGGGAAUUAGGGUUCGAUUCCGGAGAGGGAGCCUGAGAAACGGCUACCACAUCCAAGGAAGGCAGCAGGCGCGCAAAUUACCCAAUCCCGACACGGGGAGGUAGUGACAAUAAAUACUGAUACGGGGCUCUUUUGGGUCUCGUAAUUGGAAUGAGUACAAUCUAAAUCCCUUAACGAGGAACAAUUGGAGGGCAAGUCUGGUGCCAGCAGCCGCGGUAAUUCCAGCUCCAAUAGCGUAUAUUAAGGUUGUUGCAGUUAAAAAGCUCGUAGUUGAACCUUGGGUCUGGCUGACCGGUCCGCCUCACCGCGAGUACUGGUUCGGCUGGGCCUUUCCUUCUGGGGAACCUCAUGGCCUUCACUGGCUGUGG